UGGACCUCCUCAGAGCAGGUGGCUUGAAGAAUGGCUUCUCUGUUUACAACAUGCCCAACAGGAACUUAGCAUCACUGUGACAAGGGGCGUAGAACUUACGACUUCCCUUUGAGAAAAGGUGCCAUGCAU
ensembl:snoRNA